AUUAAAAGAAAAAGGGGUGAAAAGAACAAAAUUUUGUCCAUCUUUGUUCAUCAUAGCCUAAAGUUAGAGAAGAGAAAGGAGAGGAGAAAGCUCUUGAAUGUUCGGUCACUUGGGGAAGAAAAUUGAAGGCGGUUCGUGUGUGGAUCUCGUCAGCAUAUCGUUGCAAACAGAUUUGCGAGUGUGCGAAUGCUCGUGAGGUAAAUCGAUUAAUGUUUUUGGUAAGCUGCAAAAUUUGGACUGCAAAGUGCAUGAUUUGCAUACCCUCGAUAUUUUUGGGC